AUUGAACGCUGGCGGCAGGCCUAACACAUGCAAGUCGAACGAGUGGCGGACGGGUGAGUAAUGUAUGGGAAACUGACUGAUGGAGGGGGAUAACUACUGGAAACGGUAGCUACUACCGCAUACCAUCAGAUGUGCCCAGAUGGGCUUAGCUUGUUGGUGGGGUAACGGCUCACCAAGGCGACGAUCCCUAGCGGGUCUGCGAGGAUGAGCAUCCACACUGGAACUGAGAAACGGGCCAGACUCCUCCGGGAGGAAGCAGUGGGGAAUAUUGGACAAUGGGCGAAAGCCUGAUGCAGCCAUGCCGCGUGUAGGAAGAAGGCCUUCGGGUUGUAAAGUACUUUCAGCGGUGAGGCGUUACCCGCAGAAGAAGCAACGGCUAACUCCGUGCCAGCAGCCGCGGUAAUUC
rnacentral:rRNA from 1 species